AAAAGACUCAGUAUUUUGACAUAAGAAUAGAAUCCGUUAAAGAGAAUAAAAUAGACAUUUAUAAGUAAACAUAAAAUCUGACCUUCAGAACACUUUGGGAGGCUUAUCAGCAAACUGGAUGAAAUGGAAGACAAUAUUAGUGAACUCGAAGAUGGGCCAACAAAAGCUAUUAAAAUUGAAGUGAAGAGAGAAAAAAAUGGAAAGAACAAAUCAGAACAAAUCAGAACACAAGAAACACAAGACAAAAGAAAACCUGUCACAUACAUAUGCUUGGUGUAUCAGAAGCGGGGUAUAGAGAAAAUUGGGCAGAAGCAACAUUUGUAGACAUAGUAUUUGGGGAUUUUCCAAAAUUGAAGGGAGAUAUUCACCCAUAGGCACAAGAAACUCAGUGAACUCCAAUCAAAAUAUGUGUAAAGAAAACUAGGCACAUGAUAUUAAAACAGCUCAAAACCACAGUAAAAGAAAAAAAAUCUUAAAAAUCAAUCAGAAGUAGAAAACACACAUUAUCUUUAAAGGAGCAGCGAGCAAUAAGGCUGAUGGCUAAAUCUGCAGGAGGAACUACGGAAUCCUGAAGACAAUAGAAUCAUAUCUUUAAAGGGCUGAAAGGAAAACAAUUACCAAUACAGAAUUUUAUACACAGCAAAAAUAUCUUUCAAAAAUGAAGAAGCUAGAUGCAGUGCAUUAUCUCAGAUUGGAUCCUGGGAGAGAAAAAAAAUCUGUAGAAAAUACAGUAAAAUAUGAGCAAACUCUAGUUCAGUCAAUCAAUAGCGGUGUUCGUGUUUUGGUUUUGAAGUUUACCAUGGGUAUAUAAAGUGUUAACAUUAGGGGACUCUGGGUGAAGCUAUACAGAAACUCUCAGUACUGUCUUUGUAAGUUUGAUAUAAAUAUAAAAUUUUUCAAAAAAAGGUUUGUUUAAAAAAGGUGAAGUAAAGAAGUUAUAUUUGUUACCAGUAGAAGCAGAUUAUAGAGUAUGCUGAAGGAAAUUCUUCAUAUGCAAGAAAAAUGAUCCAGACAAAAGCUUAGAAUUACAGAAAGAAAUAAAAGGCAAUGGAAAGUGUAAAUAUAUGAGUAAAUAUGAAAGGAUAUUGGUGUUUUAAACAACAAUAGAAAUAUCUUUGGGGUUUAUACACAGGUAGAUGUAAAAUAUGUGACUAAAAUGGCACAAAUGUCAAGAGAUCUGUAAAUGGAAUUAAAUCGUUGUAAGAUUUUUGUGCUGUUUGAAAGUGAUAAAAUAAUUUUAGGAGGAUUGUAUGAUGGCAUAAAUGCAUAUGAUAAUCUUCAGGGUAAUCACUAAAAUUAAUACAAAAAUGAAAAACAAGUUAAAAUAAGAAAUAAAAGGGAGUAAAUUUUAAAAAUUGAUUAAUUCUAAAGAACGCAGGGAAGGAUGAAAAUAGGAACAGGCCAAAUAUGGUGGCUCACGCCUGUAAUCCCAGCACUUUGGGAGGCCGAGGUGGGUGGAUCGCUUGAGUCCAGGAGUUUGAGAUCAGUCCUGGCAAUGUAGUAAAACCCCAUCUGUUAAAAAAAAAUACAAAAAUUAUACGGGUGUUGUGACACACAUCUGUGGGCCCAGCUACUCAGGAGGCUGAGGUGGGAAGAUCAUCUGAGCCUUAGGAGGUCAAGGCUGCAGUGAGCUGUGGUUGCGGCACUGCACUCCAGCCAGGGCAACAGAAUGAAACGCUGUCUAAAAAAAGAAGGAGAGAAAUGUGGCUAUAAAAAUAUAACGCAAAGAAGAAUUUACUGCAAGAAAUAUUGCUAGAUAUAAAAAAGAUAUUUUACAAUAAAAAAGAGGAGUCCAUUUAAUAAGAAACCAAGGCAAUCCUAACUUUGCACUUAAUAACAUCAUUUAAAAAAUAUAUAUAAAUUGACAAGAUUAAAAUGAGAAAUAGACAAAUCCACAAUCACAGUUAAAGAUUUUAACAUCAUCUAAAUAGUUGAUGAAACAAGCAGACAAAAAUUAGGAAAGAUACAAGGGAUGUGAGCAACAUAGAAUAUCGUUAACUUCUGGUUGGGAGCAUUGUCCUGAAGGGAAAUGAGAGAGAUUUCUUGGAUGCUGGAAAUAUUCUAGAUCUUGAUCUGGGUGGUGAUUGCAUUUAACACCUGUGUGCAUAAAUAUGUUACACCUCAGUAAAAAAGCAUAUAAAAUCUGUUAUUGGCCAAAUACUUAGGUAAAAAUGUUUAAUACAGUAUAUUUCUUUUAUAUUUUACCAAAUCCUUGAGACUGAGUAAUAAAUUAUCCUAUAUUCAAGGUUGUUAGCAUGUUUAAAUGAUAUUUGAUGGAGAGGAAAUGUCACAAAACUCUUCAUAGUUACAAAGACAUUGUGACACUCGGUAGAGGUAAAGGUUCCAGUAUUUUAAAAACAUGAGAAAUAUGGGUUAAACUGUGUUAUAAGAUAUGCAUCAGGAAAUACAUUGUCUUUUUAAUAAAAAUUAUGAAAACAGGAUAUUAUUGUAAAUAUUGCUAGAUCUAGGAAGACCAAUAAGUAGUCACUAAACUUUGAGGAUUUUCA
rnacentral:lncRNA from 1 species